UCGAGUCGCUGAGGUUUUUUUUUUUCCGCAUCUUAAGAUCCGCUAUCUCUAUGAUUUGAUUCUUCGCGUAUCAGACGCAUACUUAUUUGGUCUCCAUUUUACCUAACGUAAGAAAGUGACACAUGCUUGGCAGACUUUUUUCAAAUUUGACGGUCAUGGACGAGGCUAACAGCCAUGUACCUGAAAGCACUUUUGCUUUCAACCGCCAAAUGGUAAGGCACCUCCCUCUUUUCUCUCGCAAUCACAAUAGUUGUAAAGUCGAGUGUUUAAGUUAGACUGGGUAUAACAGUCGAACUAUCAAAAAGAUUUGCUACAAAAGAAUUAGGAGUUAUAACAUGGGAAAAAUACAUAGGUUAGCCCCUAAACUUGUCUGGAAAAGUCAUUUACACACCUUAACUUUCCGGGCGACGUAUCACCCCCCCUUAUGUUUGUUCGAAAUGAUAUAUUACACUAAUCUCCCAUUGUAGCUACCACCAUACGCCAACCAACAAGGAUUAAAGCCAUUGACCUCUAAUUUGAUGGAACAACUUGCAAGACACCCAUGUUUUUUGACAACCAAAUAUCAAUAGAACGGGACUGUGAAGAGUCCCACAUCGAGCAUAAAAGAAAUGGAUGGUCUCUUUACAUGGCUCAGGCAAUCCUCACCUCUAUAGAUAGCUUUUGGGAUUGAGUUAGUCCCAAGAUCCAUUUCUUUACAGAGAGUACAGUGAGAAAAAUAAAUAAACAAACUUGAAAAUUGAUCCGAAAAA